rnacentral:rRNA from 1 species
GACAUGGUAAGAGAUGCAGGCAAAGCCCGCAACUCUAGGUAAUGAUCCUUUCCGUAGGUGAACCUGCGGAAGGAUCAUUA